AGGUCGUGUUGAGGGAAAUUCUUUAGCAUUCCCGUAUAUCUCUCCAAAGCUUCAUAUAAAGAUUCACCAUCAUUUUGAUGGAAGUCUACUUUUCUUCUUGAGUUU